rnacentral:rRNA from 1 species
GUAGUCAUAUGCUUGUCUCAAAGAUUAAGCCAUGCAUGUCUAAGUAUAAGCAAUUAUACCGUGAAACUGCGAAUGGCUCAUUAAAUCAGUUAUCGUUUAUUUGAUAGUACCUUACUACUUGGAUAACCGUGGUAAUUCUAGAGCUAAUACAUGCUGAAAACCCCGACCUCGGAAGGGGUGUAUUUAUUAGAUAAAAAACCAGUGCCCUCCGGGGCUUCUUGGUGAUUCAUGAUAACUUCUCAGAUCGCAUGGCCUUGCGCCGGCGACGGUUCAUUCAAAUUUCUGCCCUAUCAACUUUCGAUGGUAAGGUAUUGGCCUACCAUGGUUUCAACGGGUAACGGGGAAU